rnacentral:lncRNA from 1 species
AAUCGUAAUAACAAAAAGCUAAGGAAGAAGGUUCCAAAGAUUUAGAGAAGACAAAACGUACUCCCUGAGGCGAGCCUUAGAAGCAGCCCAUAUAAUUUAACAAUCUCAUGGGAGUGUCUGUUAACCUCUUUAGGCAAUCUAUUUCCAAACAAGGUCGAGAUUAUAGAUGUAUAUUUGAUAUAUGCCCCAGUCAAGGAAGCUUUCAAU